rnacentral:lncRNA from 1 species
CUGGGGAGAUGGUUCUGUGAGUCUCUUUUGGAGUGGCUUGGGACAUUGGCUGCCGGCUGAGCUGCACAGGAGAGGGCGCACUUGGGAAUGUAGUGUCUCAUGGCCCACUCGAGAGUCUAGAGCUGUCACACCAGGGCUUCCAGGCACCCCAGGAAUCGGCAAGAGGCACAUUCAGCAUUCCCCACCUGGUUUCGUUGCUCAUCUCUUCAGGUUACAAGAAAUGCCCAGGAUGCAGAUGAUGAAUGGGCAGUACGGCAGGCAGUGAGAAAUGAUGACCAGAGCUCACGUCCUGACUUACGCUAGGCCAGCCACACUUGCCAACCUAUCCCAUCCAUCAAGACAGGGGAACACAAGGAAAGAGGAGGACAUAAUAUAAUGCACACUUGGAUGUAAUCCGUGCAACUCUGACUGUGAUUUAAGGAGAAGAGGAAAAGCAAGAAAAACGCUUCAGCUGGAGCAGGCUGCGAAGCAUAUUUAGAGAACCAUUUCCAUUUUAGUAGCGUGUGUCUUUCCCAUAUCAAAUGACGCGUCUGGCAAACACUAAAGCGCAACACCUUUUGGGGCUCUAAGUGUCUCAACAAUAGAUGAAGUCAUCUUAAAGGGACCACAAAGCCACUUAGCAUCUGGCACUUUGUCUCCACCCUGGUGGGGACAAGAGAGAAGAGUGCUUGAGUGGCAGAGCACGCGUGGCUCCUGUCUGGAUGACGCACAGGGAGCCCUGUUCACCAUGUGACCUUCUCAUUGAGCCUGUGAGGAGAUGACUUCCCAAGUGGGGUGUAGUGCAAAGGUAUUAUCCUUCAUCAUUACACAGACGGUUUCCACAGAAAUCACAGCAGCAUGCAAAACAAAGAAUAAAA